CCGUCUGCUGAGAGUCGCAAGGGACAUUACCGAGUUUACAACUCCCAAACCCAAUGUGAACGUUACCAAACUGUUGCCUCGGCGGGAUCUCUGCCCCGGGUGCGUCGCAGCCCCGGACCAAGGCGCCCGCCGGAGGACCAACCAAAACUCUUAUUGUAUACCCCCUCGCGGGUUUUUUUAUAAUCUGAGCCUUCUCGGCGCCUCUCGUAGGCGUUUCGAAAAUGAAUCAAAACUUUCAACAACGGAUCUCUUGGUUCUGGCAUCGAUGAAAAACGCAGCGAAAUGCGAUAAGUAAUGUGAAUUGCAGAAUUCAGUGAAUCAUCGAAUCUUUGAACGCACAUUGCGCCCGCCAGUAUUCUGGCGGGCAUGCCUGUCCGAGCGUCAUUUCAACCCUCGAACCCCUCCGGGGGGUCAGCGUUGGGGAUCGGCCCUGCCUUGGCGGUGGCCGUCUUCGAAAUACAGUGGGGGUCUCGCCGCAGCCUCUCCUGCGCACUAGUUUGCACACUCCCAUCGAGGAGCCCGGGCUCGUCAAACUUCCGUUUAACACCCGACUUUCUGAAAUGUUGACCAUCGAGACCACGUAGUGAAUACCCGCUGAACUUAAUGAAUUUUUUUUAGAGGGGAAUUC
rnacentral:rRNA from 1 species